rnacentral:rRNA from 1 species
GACGAACGCUGGCGGCGUGCUUAACACAUGCAAGUCGAACGGAAAGGCCCUGCUUUUGUGGGGUGCUCGAGUGGCGAACGGGUGAGUAACACGUGAGUAACCUGCCCUUGACUUUGGGAUAACUUCAGGAAACUGGGGCUAAUACCGGAUAGGAGCUCCUGCUGCAUGGUGGGGGUUGGAAAGUUUCGGCGGUUGGGGAUGGACUCGCGGCUUAUCAGCUUGUUGGUGGGGUAGUGGCUUACCAAGGCUUUGGCGGGUAGCCGGCCUGGGAGGGUGACCGGCCACCUUGGGACUGAGAUACGGCCCAGACUCCUACGGGAGGCAGCAGUGGGGAAUAUUGCACAGUGGGCGGAAGCCUGAUGCAGCAACGCCGCGUGCGGGAUGACGGCCUUCGGGUUGUAAACCGCUUUCGCCUGUGACGAAGCGUGAGUGACGGUAAUGGGUAAAGAAGCACCGGCUAACUACGUG